AAAGCGCAAUGGAUUGCGCGUUGUACUUAUAAUCCAAAAGUCGUGGGUUCGAAUCCCGCCUGAAAUG